GACGAACGCUGGCGGCGUGCUUAACACAUGCAAGUCGAACGGAAAGGCCCUGCUUUUGUGGGGUGCUCGAGUGGCGAACGGGUGAGUAACACGGGAGUAACCUGCCCUAGACUUUGGGAUAACUUCAGGAAACUGGGGCUAAUACCGGAUAGGAGCUGCUGCUGCAUGGUGGGGGUUGGAACGUUUCGGCGGUUGGGGAUGGACUCGCGGCUUAUCAGCUUGUUGGUGGGGUAGUGGCUUACCAAGGCUUUGACGGGUAGCCGGCCUGAGAGGGUGACCGGCCACAUUGGGACUGAGAUACGGCCCAGACUCCUACGGGAGGCAGCAGUGGGGAAUAUUGCACAAUGGGCGGAAGCCUGAUGCAGCAACGCCGCGUGCGGGAUGACGGCCUUCGGGUUGUAAACCGCUUUCGCCUGUGACGAAGCGUGAGUGACGGUAAUGGGUAAAGAAGCACCGGCUAACUACGUG
rnacentral:rRNA from 1 species